rnacentral:lncRNA from 1 species
GAUCAUCGUGCCAUAUUUAUGGCUUAAACAAUACUAGCUCUUCAUUUGUAACUCACUAGUCCUGAGUUUCUUGAAUUGAAAAUUAGACAGAAAGGGCACAGUACAAUACAUAAGAACAGAGAAAUGAAGACGAAGAAGAAAACCAUAAAAUUAUCAAAAUCAACAACUUCUUCAACUACUUGAACUGCCUCAUAUUGCACCUUUACUGUCAUGUUUGAUUGAUAAAUAACACAAAGUAUUGAAUCUUGUCAAUCACCUCCUAAACAGCUGCAAAUUUAAGAAAGUGAGAAACAUUGGGAUCCUACUCAAUUGCAUUAAAAAUAGCCAAAAAGUAAUCAUAAGAUAACUACGUCUCAGUCACAAAUAAGCUAGGGUGAGCUAUAUAAAUCAUGACUAUUCAUGUUCCCCAUUCAAAACCAUAUCAAGCAAACAUUUUAUAAAAUAAAAAUUAAAAUGAAAAAUACUACUUCAGGAUAUCUCCUAUACUAGCAUAGAAAUCUCUAACAAGGUGUAGUUGAAAUUUGUGAGAAAUACUCCUCUUUAAAUUCCCAACAAAAAACAAAAAACUUAUUCAUGAUGUUAGAAAAUGGCAUUUUUAUGACAAUCUAGCUGAAUCUCGUCAACCCCAUACUAAACCACUAGACAAAUUUUCUUACUACAAAUUGUUCUAAAAACCAAAGAAACAGCUCCUGUGAAUUCAUUUCAAAAGCAGAAAAUUGAAACUCGAAAAAUGUCACAAUUUACUAUUGUCUUCUUCCUACUGUAAACACAUCCGUUUAACAAAAUCGGCAAAUUCAACAACAAAUAGUAAGAAAAAACUAUAAAUUGAAAAGAAAAAAUGACUAGCAAACUUCUGACAAUAUUGAUUUUGAUGGGAAACAUAAGUAAAAGUACCUGAAUAAGAAGAUAAGAAGCCACGAGAGAGACGAGAGGGAGACCAGUGGUUGGUGGAAGUCCACGACGACGAGGACUAGUGGGCGGUGGCUGCUGGUUUAGGCGUUAGGGUUUCUAUGAUUUUGUCUUUUGAUUAUUUAGGUAUUAGGAAUGCUUCAGUUUUUGUCUUAGAGAAUAGACUAUAGACUAUAGAGACAGACGGG